CGCUGGCGGCGUGCUUAACACAUGCAAGUCGAGCGAACAAAACUCCUUCGGGAGUGGAGUUAGCGGCGGACGGGUGAGUAACACGUGGGUAACCUGCCUUAUAGAGGGGGAUAGCCUUCCGAAAGGAAGAUUAAUACCGCAUAAGAAGUAGAAGUCGCAUGGCUUUAGCUUUAAAGGAGCAAUCCGCUAUAAGAUGGACCCGCGGCGCAUUAGCUAGUUGGUGAGGUAACGGCUCACCAAGGCGACGAUGCGUAGCCGACCUGAGAGGGUGAUCGGCCACAUUGGAACUGAGACACGGUCCAGACUCCUACGGGAGGCAGCAGUGGGGAAUAUUGCACAAUGGGCGAAAGCCUGAUGCAGCAACGCCGCGUGAGUGAAGAAGUAUUUCGGUAUGUAAAGCUCUAUCAGCAGGGAAGAAAAUGACGGUACCUGACUAAGAAGCCCCGGCUAACUACGUG
rnacentral:rRNA from 1 species